rnacentral:rRNA from 1 species
GUUUCUGACCCAUCAGCUUGACGGUAGGGUAUUGGCCUACCGAGGCAGCAACGGGUAACGGGGAAUUAGGGUUCGAUUCCGGAGAGGGAGCCUGAGAAACGGCUACCACGUCCGAGGAAGGCAGCAGGCGCGCAAAUUACCCAAUCCUGACACAGGGCGGUAGUGACAAGAAAUAACAAUACAGGGCAAUUGUCUUGUAAUUGGAAUGAUGGUGACCUAAACCCUCACCAGAGUAACAAUUGGAGGGCAAGUCUGGUGCCAGCAGCCGCGGUAAUUCCAGCUCCAAUAGCGUAUAUUAAACUUGUUGCAGUUAAAAAGCUCGUAGUUGAAUUUCUGCGUUAUCGAGUUAUUGACUCUUGUCUUUAAUCGAUUUCGCUUUUGGGAUUUAUCCCUUUUUACUUUGAGAAAAUUAGAGUGUUUCAAGCAGACUUUUGUCUUGA